rnacentral:rRNA from 1 species
UACGUAGGGUGCGAGCGUUGUCCGGAAUUAUUGGGCGUAAAGGGCUCGUAGGCGGUCUGUUGCGUCAGGAGUGAAAACUCGGGGCUUAACCCCGAGCCUGCUUCUGAUACGGGCAGACUAGAGGUAUGCAGGGGAGAACGGAAUUCCUGGUGUAGCGGUGAAAUGCGUAGAUAUCAGGAGGAACACCGGUGGCGAAGGCGCACAUCUGGCCCAAUACUGACGCUGAGGCGCGAAAGCUAGGGGAGCAAACGGG